rnacentral:rRNA from 1 species
UACGAAGGGGGCGAGCGUUGUUCGGAGUUACUGGGCGUAAAGGGCGCGUAGGCGGCGCUCCAAGUUAGGCGUGAAAGCCCCGGGCUCAACCUGGGAAUUGCGCUUAAGACUGGAGUGCUCGAGUGCGGGAGAGGUGAGUGGAAUUCCCAGUGUAGAGGUGAAAUUCGUAGAUAUUGGGAGAACACCAGUGGCGAAGGCGGCUCACUGGCCCGCAACUGACGCUGAGGCGCGAAAGCGUGGGGAGCAAACAGG